rnacentral:tRNA from 1 species
GCCUGGGAGGCUUAGUCAGUUAAGCGUCUGACUUUGGCUCAGGUUAUGAUCUCCCAGUUUCUGGGUUCUAGUCCCAUGUCAGGCU